GUAAAGUCAAUAAGCACUCUUCAAAUAGCACAAAACACUUUAAACUCCUUUUAGCGACUGUGAUUACAGGUCGCGACAAAUGCCAUUUGCAGUGGCGUAAUUUACCAUAUCACUGAGCCAUUAAAACCUAAUGAAUGGUUGGAGUUGGAAAAAUAGAUAGUUUGUAGAUGGGACCGCCUCUAUGGGGAGUGAAUGCACAUCCAUAUCUUUUAACCUGCUCUUUGGUUUCACUUUUAUUCGACUUGCUCGCGAUUCUGCUCGCUUUGCUGUAGGUAUGCAAUUAGUCAAUUAAUUUAAAAAUUUAUUAACCGCCAAAAACCAAUUUGCUCCAGAUCGGCAAAAACACACGAGAAACAAGAGAAACACAAAAGAGCGCGCAGCGAAGAUCGCGAAAUGCCGGCGGUAAACUGGCCUCGAUCUUGGUCAAGAUCACGGCUUCAAAAGCUGCAAGAUCCGUUCGAGGCGUUGGUCAGCGGACAAAUGAAGGGUUUAAAGGUUGCGGAACUUUCAGCGAGUUAGGGAUUUGAAAUCAAAGCCCCGAAAGGAGGAGAUCCCCCUUCGAAAUGUGGAAAUGUAGUGCAGAUAAUUUAUGGGUUCGGCGGCAGCGGAAGUGCGUGUGUAUCUGGGAGAUACGAAUCGCAGCGGCUACCGAUGGUUUUCUAGGUCAAAAAGCAGAGUCCGCGAAAUAAAUGACUUUUGUGCAUGUCGCGGACUGCUUGCCGUCGGCUUGGCUUCAGGCCAUAAAUUUUGGUGUAUUUGAAAAGCGUUUGUUGUCUUUCCCACUCACUCUCUUUGGGACUGGGAUUCUCUCUUUCCACACCCGACUUAUGAUUAAUAACGCUCGUUUGAGUUGAAAACCUGCUUUUGGCGGCCAUUAUGAUCAGCUGAUCGCGCAGACCCGAAAAAAGAAGCAAACGUCAUGACACCGCAAUGUCCGUCGGACAAAUGAAAUGAACCUGAAAGUGAUCACUCAUUGACACAAGUGACUGAUCGACGAUGGAAGCAAGUGCGGUGGUGUGCGUGUUUGAACCCAUUUUGGAAAUGCCAUAUGGCUGGAAAACUACAGUGAUCUUCACCUGAUGCUCAAAGAUCACCGCUUGCUCACCGCACAGGUAUGCGCACUCUCUCUCUUGCUCGGCUGGCUCCCUCUCUCUCUCUCGCUGGCUCCUCUCUUUCGCUCACCUGGUGAUCGAUCAUCUUUUCGCUCAGCCGGUUUUUUUUUAACCACUGCUCUGGGAAUUAAUUUAUGUGCUCUCGCUGGAAUGAAUCUCACCUUUAUUCGAAUUGGAACAUUUCGGGCAACCGCAGACCGUUUACGAUAUUCGCAGCUGUUAAUUGGACUUUGCAAAGGUGAUAUAAUACUUCUGAUCAGACAGCGGUUAGACAGGUUAAGAAGUUUGGUAUACAAGCUAAGAUCAUAUGAGACAUUAGAGGCUCUCAGAUAAGAGAUUUGGUUGGAUUUACCUGUACGGGAUUAAG